rnacentral:rRNA from 1 species
UUUCGGGGUAGGGAGUAAAGCGGCGAACGGGUGAGUAAUGCGUAGGUAACCUGCCUCCGAGAGGGGAAUAACCUACCGAAAGGUGGGCUAAUGCCCCAUAAGCUCACAAUCACUACGGUGAUUGUGAGAAAAGAUGGCCUCUGCAUGCAAGCUGUCGCUCGGAGAGGGGCUUACGUCCUAUCAGCUAGUUGGUGAGGUAAUGGCUCACCAAGGCUACGACGGGUAGCCGGCCUGAGAGGGUGGUCGGCCACACUGGCACUGAGACACGGGCCAGACUCCUACGGGAGGCAGCAGUGGGGAAUAUUGGGCAAUGGGCGCAAGCCUGACCCAGUAACGCCCCGUGGGUGAUGAAGGCCUUCGGGUCGUAAAGCCCUGUCAGGUGGGAAGAAUAUCUGAUGGGUAAAUAGCCCAUUGGAUUGACGGUACCGCCAGAGGAAGCACCGGCUAACUCCGUGCCAGCAGCCGCGGUAAUACGGAGGGUGCAAGCGUUACUCGGAAUUACUGGGCGUAAAGGGCGCGUAGGCGGGAAGGCAAGUUGAGCGUGUAAGCCUGAGGCUCAACUUCAGAAUGGCGCUCAAAACUGCCUUUCUUGAGUC